rnacentral:rRNA from 1 species
GAUGAACGCUGGCGGCGUGCCUAAUACAUGCAAGUCGAACGAAGAUCUAGCUUGCUAGAUCUUAGUGGCGAACGGGUGAGUAAUACAUAAAUAAUCUGCCCAUAUGACUGGGAUAACUAUUGGAAACGAUAGCUAAUACCGGAUAGGUUGAUUGGAGGCAUCUCUGAUUAGUUAAAGUAGGAUUUCUACACAAAUGGAUGAGUUUAUGGCGCAUUAGUUAGUUGGUGGGGUAACGGCCUACCAAGACGAUGAUGCGUAGCCGACCUGAGAGGGUGACCGGCCACACUGGGACUGAGACACGGCCCAGACUCCUACGGGAGGCAGCAGUAGGGAAUUUUCGGCAAUGGGCGCAAGCCUGACCGAGCAACGCCGCGUGAGUGAUUAAGGCCUUCGGGUUGUAAAGCUCUGUUGUAAGGGAAGAACAUUCAGGAUAGGAAAUGAUCUUGAACUGACAGUACCUUACCAGAAGGCCACGGCUAACUACGUGCCAGCCGCCGCGGUAA